AGUGAACGCUGGCGGUAGGCCUAACACAUGCAAGUCGAACGGCAGCACAGUAAGAGCUUGCUCUUACGGGUGGCGAGUGGCGGACGGGUGAGGAAUACAUCGGAAUCUACUUUUUCGUGGGGGAUAACGUAGGGAAACUUACGCUAAUACCGCAUACGACCUACGGGUGAAAGCAGGGGAUCUUCGGACCUUGCGCGGUUGAAUGAGCCGAUGUCGGAUUAGCUAGUUGGCGGGGUAAAGGCCCACCAAGGCGACGAUCCGUAGCUGGUCUGAGAGGAUGAUCAGCCACACUGGAACUGGGACACGGUCCAGACUCCUACGGGAGGCAGCAGUGGGGAAUAUUGGACAAUGGGCGCAAGCCUGAUCCAGCCAUACCGCGUGGGUGAAGAAGGCCUUCGGGUUGUAAAGCCCUUUUGUUGGGAAAGAGAAGCAGCAGGUUAAUACGCCGCUGUUCUGACGGUACCCAAAGAAUAAGCACCGGCUAACUUCGUG
rnacentral:rRNA from 1 species